rnacentral:rRNA from 1 species
UGUUAAUAACAAAGCACAACCUAGCACCACAAAUUAAACCAUUUUUUUACCUAAGUAUGGGAGACAGAAAAGGUACAACCUAGAGCGAUAGAGAAAGUACCGCAAGGGAAAGCUGAAAGAGAAAUGAAACAACCCAUAUAAGCACUAAAAAACAGAGACUAGACCUUGUACCUUUUGCAUCAUGAUUUAGCCAGCACCCCCAAGCAAAGAGACCUUCAGUUUGAAACCCCGAAACCAGGUGAGCUACCCCGAGACAGCCUAUUUAAAUUUAGGGCUAACCCGUCUCUGUGGCAAAAGAGUGGGAAGAGCUCCGGGUAGAAGUGACAGACCUACCGAACCUGGUGAUAGCUGGUUGCCUGAGAAGUGGAUAGAAGUUCAGCCUCAUACGCCCCAAAUCAGAAGACAUAAUACUAAGAUCAAGAGAAAUAUAUGAGAGUUAGUUAAAGGGGGUACAGCCCCUUUAACGAAGGAUACAACCUUCACAGAAGGAUAAAGACCAUAAUAUAUAAAAUACACUGUUUUAGUGGGCCUAAAAGCAGCCAUCUAAACAGAAAGCGUUAAAGCUCAGACAGAGAGAAGUUUAUUAUACUGAUAAGAAAAUCUUAUUCCCCUAGCAGUAUCAGGCCAACCCAUGCUCACAUGGAAGAGAUAAUGCUAAAAUGAGUAACAAGAAGACCCGAUCUUCUCCAAGCACAAGUGUAAACCAGAUCGGACAAGCCACUGGAAAUUAACGAACCCAACCAAAGAGAGUAAUGUGGACAACAAAAAAACCAAGAAAACCCCACAAUUGGAUGAUCGUUAAUCCCACACUGGAGUGCUAUUUUAAAGGAAAGACUAAAAGAAAGGGAAGGAACUCGGCAAACACAAGCCUCGCCUGUUUACCAAAAACAUCGCCUCCUGCAACUAACCUUAGUAUAGGAGGUCCAGCCUGCCCAGUGACUACGGGUUCAACGGCCGCGGUAUUUUGACCGUGCAAAGGUAGCGCAAUCACUUGUCUUUUAAAUAGAGACCUGUAUGAAUGGCUAGACGAGGGCUUAACUGUCUCCCCCUUCAAGUCA